UUUAGGGUAUUUUGUCCACUUCAACAACACCACCAAUUUCGUAAUGAUAUGGGCCCUUGAGUGAAGAGAAGACGAAGACAGAGGAGUGCUUGGAGGCGCACCCAGGUAGGGUUUGGAGGUUCAGAUGGAGGGCACGAGUAUUGACAUACAUACCUUGGUGCCUGUGGACAACACCCACCUGUUCUGGUGUCCUACACAGAAAGGAAUGCAGCGCUUUUCUCACACCCAACGCUGUUAUACUACAUGAAAUGGUGGCCUGAUGGGGCAACACAUUUAUGUAAUGGACUGUCUUCAGCCUCAUGUGGACAUACAGACAUACACAUGCUUAUCCAUAUGGGUGUAUAGGCUAAGAGGAGGACUAUAUGAGGGAGCUGCCACCAGAUUGACUUUGUGAAAAGCCAACAUCAGAUCAUCUGCAACCCAUCUCAGCCUCCUCCCAGCCCCCUGACACAGCAUCUGCGGAUGGCCCAAAGCAUUCCUCCAGCCCAUUGACUGUGGAAUGGCUGGCCGAGCAUCGUGCACGUUCUCUACACAAACACACACACGGGCCGACCUGCACGGUGCGUCCCAGGACUGGUCGAGACUGGGGAGCCGCAGCGCUGAGAUUGCCUCUGACAGCUGUUUCCUGCUCCCUAACUACACACAGCUGCUAUUUCCAGGAGAGGGCAUCUUGGCGUUGUAGACAUUGCCAGGGGUCAAAGGGAAGAAAAAUAAUGCCGUUUUAAUGGUGACCCAACAACUUGGACCACCAAGGUUUCGGACGUCCGCAGCGCACUCUGCAGGGUGCGUGGACGUAUGGAAAGGUAAAUACCGGAAUGCUGGGAGCGUUGUAGCAGAACACUCCAGAGGACAUCAGUUCUCGGUGUUAUUGACAUUGACGUUGAUAAACUUCUCUUUGUCAUGCAACUGCAUUAGUCCAUCAAUGCCCUUUGUUCACUGGAGGCAGAAAACAUAUAGGAUACUGCAGCACCAGUCGUAUCAUCUUCUUAAACAAACUGCCACAAAGACAUGUCAUAGCUAGUUCAUGCGCAAUGCAUGUUACUCUCCAGAGUUCAAAAGAUAUUUGUGGUAAUUUCUGGGAAAGAGUCUGGAUGUUUGGCUGCAGUCGCUUCAGUAAAUAUUGGUUUAGGUUGUUUGAGCUUCCUCAACAAAAUAAACAUUUUACAUAU